AGAAGAUGGAAGAUGGCAACUCCGUUUUCACUUUGGAUCACCCUGGUCCUUUCUACUUCAUUAGUGGCAACAAAGAUAAUUGCAACAAAGGACAAAAGGUGCAAAUUAUUGUAAUAUCUCCUAGAGGUAAAACUCCUACUACCCCUUCUUCACCCACAACUCCGUCUCCUUCUGGUUCCGCCACCCCUCCGUCUCCUUCUGGUGGUUCCGCCACCCCUCCGUCUCCUUCUGGCGGUUCAGCCACCCCUCCGUCUCCUUCUGGCGGUUCCGCCACCCCUCCAACUCCUUCUGGGGGUUCCAUCACUCCUCCGGCGGCUGGUUCGCCUAAAGGAUCAUCUACACCAUCACCAGCGGGAUCACCGCCAUCUCCUUCUGCAGGUAAACAUCACAAUAUCAAUUUGAUUGGUUUAAGUAUUAGGUUCUUUGCAUUGUACGCUUUAAAAUUAUGAGUUCAAAAUUUAAUAUUUAUUGAAAUUUUAAUGAUUUUUCGCGUGUGUACUACUAUGCAGGUUCUACUACCCCACCACCCGCAACUUCAGCACCUUCAGCCACCACUCCGGCAGGUGCUCCGUCUAAAGGAUCGACCACACCCGGUACAUCAUCACCCAAUGGGGCACCAGUAGUAUCUCCACCAGCAGGUAAAUAGAAGCGGUUUAGAAUUUAAAUUUAAGAAGUUUCGUGAUUUUUUACACACACACUUAUAUAUACUCAGUAAAAUAAAUUUUAGUUAUAUAUAUAAAUAUUACAUUCGCCUCAGCAGGUAAAUCACCAACCUCAUCUCCUGCACCUGCUGGUUCAAUCGUAUCUCCGGCAACUAAUGCUCCGGUGCCGGCAACAAGUUCUAUGACUCCAACCGGAUCUCCGGCACCGACAGGAGGAGCUUCUGAUUUAUCGCCUUCACCAUCAUCAAGCUCAUUAGCACCAGGUUCAUCUGCUCUUUCGCCGGGAGGUAUUGCACCAGCCGGAGGACCAACUUCAUCAAUGGCGCCGGGAAGUAUGGCUCCGGGCGCCGGCGCCGGUAGCACUCCGGCGGACAUUAAUUCGCCAGCUGGCGCACCAUCCAACCCAAAUUCAUUUGCAGUAAAGGCAUUUACUCCAUCAGUUGUCCUUUUGUCAACCGUUUCACUCAUCUUGACCAUGGCUUUUGGAGAAUUUAUUAUUUCACCUUAGGGUAAAAAAAAUUUAGUAGAAUUACUGUGAAAACUUCGUUCUCUAUCUUCUGGUUAUUUUUAUUUGGGUUUUUCUUUUUUUGUCUCCUAUUGUUUUUAUUUCUUUAAUAAUUCAGAGAUUGGAGAUGUGUUUAGUUGUUUUUUCUUUUUAUUUUUUUGUGGGUGACAAAUUGAAUUUAUAUAUGCGAGUAUGUAUGAACUUAAUUCUAGUCAUUUUUUUUUCGGCAAUGUAUUUGUCUUUCACAUAUAAAAGAUAAUUCAUUUUAUAUCACAUAACAAAUAAAUGUUAUUUAUGAGCCA
rnacentral:lncRNA from 1 species